rnacentral:pre_miRNA from 1 species
CCUCCGUCCAAAAAAAAGUCAUGUUUGACUGUCUAUCUUAUAUGAAAUUUUUUUAUAAUUAGUAUUUUCAUUGUUGUUAGAUGAUAAAACAUGAUUAAUACUUUAUGCGGUGACUUAUUAUUUUUAUAAUUUUUUUAAAUAAGAUGGACGGUCAAACGUUGGACACGGAAAUCAGGGUUUGUCUUUUU